UUUUACCCCCUUUAUUUUGUUUUUUAACAUUUUUAGAGGGUCCAUACUCCAUAGUCUAACCCAUGGGGGGCCAGUCCCCUCCCCCCCAAAAAAAAAAUUGUACGCCAGAGAACGUGAAUCUGUACAGUGGCUAGAGGUUGAAAUAAAAAUUGGUCUCAAUUUAAAGCUUGUUAUAAUCCAACACUCUUUACAAUUUUUUUUAAUUAAUUGAAAUACAUGAUCAUAUUACCAUUAAAGUAAGAAUCUUGAAAAUCCUUUAUAAAAAAAUUCUUGCAGAGAAACAAAUUAUAUAUAUAAUGUAAUUUUGGGACCAAAUGGAGACUAUGGGAUGUUGUAUUUGUUAGUAUUUAACAUGCAUUACUUUGGUUGUUAAGGGGCUAGACAUUUGAUUUUGGUCUCAAUUGCAUAUACAUCAUUGAUUAUUUGUUUAAGAUAGAAAGUAAAAAAUCAUUAAAAUAUUGCACUUUUGGAUAUUCUAAGUUCAUAUAAAUUUGCAUAUCUGAAUUAUGUUGAUGAAAUUAACAAAUUCCUUUAGAUUAUUUAUCAUCUAAAACGACUAAAAGCGAAUUUCAAUGAUCAAUCCAAAUAUUUGUUUCCAGUUUGUACUGAGCUCAUUUUCUUCUGUUAAGUUUUAAUCGCUGUAAUAAGUCCAACAAUUGGAAUCAACCAUCAAAAUGUCCUAUCCUAGUAAUGGUUAAAUUCACCACAAACUUAUUAGUAUAUAUUCAUUUGAUAAUUUAUACUGAAAGUAAUCUCAAUGCAAAUAUUUGUAUGGCUUUAUCUAGUCUUAAUUUGUGACUUUCUAAUAGGAUUAUUUAUUUUCUCAUUCAAUAUCUAACAGCUUAAAUUGUUGAGGUAUAUACACAGGAGCAACUCACGUGCAUGUGUGACUUUUUGAGAAGAAACCACGCAAGACUGUUGGUUAGCAAUCACCAUGUAAAAGGGUUUGCAGAAACCAGACAGAGAGCCUGGGUGGAGAUGCUAUUGGCUGCCUAGGUCGGACUGCCUCCAAUCUGAGGUGAUCUUGGAGUGAUCUAACAUUAGAAUGAAUGGUUACGCUAGGAAUCAGACAAAGACUGGAGGUGAACAGUUUGGUAAAGUGAAGUCAAAAUGGAAAUCGUGCUGGCAGUCAUGAGGAACAAGGCCAAGCAUUGGGUCCAUCCAUGGCCAGGAGACAGAGACUGAGACAUCUGAGCAACUGCUUUCACAUAAGGCAGCCUGCUUCUGGACAUGGGGAAGCCAGAGAAAGAGGAGGUUGAGGGGGAACCUCAAGCUGUUCCCGAGGCACCAUUGACAUCCAGGGUAGAUGGGAUCUACCGGUAGUUGAUUGUGUAGGACACCAAGAUGAAACCCAGCAUAAGAGAAGAAAGAGAAGGUGCCCUUCCUGUUUUGACCAGCACACCGAGUACCAGGAGCAUGGAUCUGCUGCAAGUUCAACAGGAGACACUCAGAAUGCAGCAAGCUAUGCUGCAAAUAUUUUAAAUAAAAAAAUCCAUGAUGAUUUUAAAAUUAUCCACAAUUGUUUGCAGCAGUUUGUUAAUGGAAAUCAGAAGUAAUGUUGAAUAAUUCAACUUCCUUUUUUUGUUCGUAUUUUACUACUGAUGUCCAUUAACAUCUACAAUAAAUAUUACCCGUGUUCUGAGCAAAUCUUGCUGAAUUUUAAAGAAGGCAUCAACUACUUAUUGGUGCAUAUACUCCACCUUUUUUUAUGAUGUUCCCUUGUUUUCCUGCUGAAAAGCUCAAUGCAGCUUUAACUUAAGCAAAAUAUGAACAAAAAUCUUUAUUUGUAGAAAUCCAUACAGCAAUAUCUAUAUUACAGAGAUUGGGCAAGAUUGUUUCAUUGACAGUUACUAAUUAAAAUAAUUAAUUUCAUGUUAUUUAUGAUAGUGUCUCAAACAAUUUCCAUUGAAAAUGAAAUAAAUGAAAUGUAUGAGAAAUUUUAAGAACAAUAUUCAUCAAAAAGAAUCGUUUGCUGCUGCUAUUGUUUUUUUUAAGAAGCAAAUUUUACAUUUUAAAAUAAACCAGGCUAUGUUGGCUUUUAUGAAUUAAUCUUUUCUGUCAACUCUAAAAAUAGUAGCUUCAAUGCCACAUACAAUUUUUAUUCUUAUGGAAUUAAUAUUGAAAUUAUUUUAUUAGAUGUUUUCAUCAUCUGUAGAAUUUUUAGUAAAACUUGAACUGCAGAAACACUUCAAAAGAAGAAAUGAGUAGACUGAAAACCUGUUGAAUAUUCUUUUUAGAAAAUGAAGUAAAAUCACCUUGAACUUUGGAAAUUUCCAAAAGCAUGUUUGAGCAAGUAAUAUGAAAAUGAGUUUUGCCUAGGUCACAUUACGGCGAGUAGAAAUAAGCCGUUUUAUGUAUUAUUAUACGAACCACCUACAUGAAGCUGGUACAAGGAUGAAUAAAAUGGCUGAUUUCGACUAGCCGUAAGGCCACCGGCCGGCAAAUGUGACCUAGGCAUAAAUUGCUGAUGUCAUUGCCUCAUAAUUUUAUACAAAAUAAUGGCAAAGACUACAUCCUUUAGGAUUGAGAAAGUUAAACUUGAACUUUAUUCUCAUCUCAGUAGAUAGAAGAUGUUAUUCAUUCAAUACUUGAAUAAAAUUUGAACAAGUGCCUUGCAAUGCAACAUAAAAAUUAAGGUUCUGAAAUCUUAAAGGGAAUCCCUGUGCAAGAACAGUUUUAAAGUUUAUUUAUACAUGUUCAUCUUGCAAGUCUGUUAUAUUUUCUGUCAGCAUUGUUUGUGGAUCCCACACUGGUGUCAUAAGCCAUGGUUCUUAUAUAUCCUGCAUUGCCCAACAGGAUGCCUUGCAAUUCGCCAUCUGCAAAAGGUUAUCCAAUGGCACUGUUCUGUUGAUUUAAAAGGAAAGGGACCUUGUCAACAUUCAAUCACAUCUUUCAAUAUGCAUACAAUGGUAUGGGAUACUGUUAGCAUUGAAAUUAAAAUAUGAAUUGACUAAGAAUUAUUUUCAAUUAAAUUCAAACUAUUAUUAUUGUUCAUAAUGAGUUCUUUGGACUGUCACUCUGAUUGUUCUUAAUAAGUGAUUGCAAAUAAAAUUAUUUCAAAUGUAUAAUUCUAUGAGAAAUGAAUUGUUUAAAGGAGGAUGAAUUGCGAGAGAAGUGAUAGAAAAAGAAAUAAAGUAUUGAGAAAGAGACAUCUGAGUUGUGUGACUGUAAUUUAAUUGAGAGAAGAAAACAAUUCUUAAUAAGUGAUAAGUGUUCCUUAUUCUCAAUUGCUAAUUAGAUUAUUUUAAACAUAUGAUAAUUGAGAAUUGUUUAAAAAAGGAGAAAGGUAGAGAGAAGAGGAAGAAAAGGAAUUAUUAAGAGAGAGACGUCUGAGUUGUGUAAUAUUUUAAUUGACAGUAGAACAAAAAUUUAACCUUCCGGUUGGCCUCU
rnacentral:lncRNA from 1 species